GACGAACGCUGGCGGCGUGCUUAACACAUGCAAGUCGAACGGUGAAGCGCCUUCCUUUUUGGUGGGUGUGGAUGAGUGGCGAACGGGUGAGUAACACGUGAGUAACCUGCCCCCUUCUUCUGGAUAACCGCAUGAAAGUGUGGCUAAUACGGGAUAUUCUGUGUCUGUCGCAUGAUGGGUCUGGGAAAGAUAUUGUUUCGGUGGGGGAUGGGCUCGCGGCCUAUCAGCUUGUUGGUGGGGUGAUGGCCUACCAAGGCGGUGACGGGUAGCCGGCCUGAGAGGGUGGACUGUCACACUGGGACUGAGACACGGCCCAGACUCCUACGGGGGGCAGCAGUGGGGAAUAGUGCACAAUGGGCGAAAGCCUGAUGCAGCGACGCCGCGUGAGGGAUGGAGGCCUUCGGGUUGUGAACCUCUUUCGCCAGUGAAGCAGGCCUGCCUCGUUUGUGGGUGGGUUGACGGUAGCUGGAUAAGAAGCGCCGGCUAACUACGUG
rnacentral:rRNA from 1 species